rnacentral:rRNA from 1 species
UACGUAGGGUGCAAGCGUUAAUCGGAAUUACUUGGCGUAAAGCGUGCGCAGGCGGUUCUAUAAGACAGAUGUGAAAUCCCCGGGCUCAACCUGGGAACUGCAUUUGUGACUGUAGAGCUGGAGUGCGGCAGAGGGGGAUGGAAUUCCGCGUGUAGCAGUGAAAUGCGUAGAUAUGCGGAGGAGCACCGAUGGCGAAGGCAAUCCCCUGGGCCUGCACUGACGCUCAUGCACGAAAGCGUGGGGAGCAAACAGG